GACGAACGCUGACGGCGUGCCUAAUACAUGCAAGUAGAACGCUGAAGGAGGAGCUUGCUUCUCUGGAUGAGCUGCGAACGGGUGAGUAACGCGUAGGUAACCUGCCUGGUAGCGGGGGAUAACUAUUGGAAACGAUAGCUAAUACCGCAUAAUAGUAGAUGUUGCAUGACAUUUGCUUAAAAGGUGCAAUUGCAUCACUACCAGAUGGACCUGCGUUGUAUUAGCUAGUUUGUGGGGUAACGGCUCACCAAGGCGACGAUACAUAGCCGACCUGAGAGGGGGAUCGGCCACACUGGGACUGAGACACGGCCCAGACUCCUACGGGAGGCAGCAGUAGGGAAUCUUCGGCAAUGGACGGAAGUCUGACCGAGCAACGCCGCGUGAGUGAAGAAGGUUUUCGGAUCGUAAAGCUCUGUUGUAAGAGAAGAACGAGUGUGAGAGUGGAAAGUUCACACUGUGACGGUAUCUUACCAGAAAGGGACGGCUAACUACGUG
rnacentral:rRNA from 1 species